CACCAGCUCCGGCGAGCUCGAGAGACCCACGAGCAGCUGCUUAGGACCAGGCCUGUUGGGGACGGCCGGGUCGGUGCGGCUCAGAACCCCCACGGGCCUGUGCGCACGUGCACACACGCAUACACACGCGCGCGAAAUAAACGGCGAGACUGUAACAGUCCAAGGCUCCCGGCAUCAUUAGAUGGCGUGGGUGUGAGGCUGGGAGCGCCGUCAGUUCUCAGACGCCCAGUGCCUUGCACUCCUGGACCUGCCCUCCAAGCCUUUGUGGAGCCACAGGUUCCUAUCGCUGCAUUUAUAACUGCUACAAAAAUGCCACCAUGUCACCAACAUGAAGAAGAGAAAUUCUUCCUCAAGGCCAAAGGCCAGAUGGAAACUACCCAGCAUCUGGGACUCACCUACCAAACAGCUGUCUGUUGUCAUGCCUUUGAAACUGUGUAACUUCUGCUUGAGUUCCUUCCCUAGUGGGUCCUUAGGGAAGAAAAGGAACCAUGCAGUGUUCACACUCACUGAGAAGAGUGUGUGGUUGGCAGCUGGGGUUGGGAAGAGGGAAAGUGAGAUGGCAGGAUUGAGGUUUCCUAGAGAAGUCCUAGGAUGAGAACAAGAGACGUUCUGGGUGAGAAUGGCCGGAGUGACAUCCCAGAGGGUCUUGUGCCUGUGAUGAUGGAUGAAGCCCUGAACUACCUAGAAAAGAGACAGGUAUCACACUUCUCUUUCAAUGUCACACCUCCAGUUAAAACUAAAGCAGGUCACCAAUUGUAGACCCUGAGCUAGGAGCACUGUGGGAGGCAGGCCCAGCAUGCAGCAUGCUCCCUCCAGAGGCAGACAAACCAGGAAGCUGGCAUUUCUCUGAUGUACCCUCCCCCACCUCCUAAUUCUCUCUUGCUUGGUGAUAUAUUAUAGAUUGUGUGCCAGUGAAUGUGUGUGGGCUUACUUCUGUGACAUCUUUAAAAAGAGGUGUAUGUGUGUGUGUAUAUUCAUGUAUAGAGAUCCAUUGGAGUCUUUAUAACAGUCUGUAGAACUUUGUUUCUCAAAUGAAAUCACAUCGAUUAAGUGAUAAUGUAGAUAUAAUUCUAAACAGUCUUAUUACAUAAGAAACACAGAGCCAAAUAAAGAGUUAAAAGCCCAAGAGGUCAGGGCACUAGCGAAUAGCCUUUAGCUUACCAGA